GACAGAGGGUGCAAACGUUGCUCGGAAUUACUGGGCGUAAAGCGCGUGUAGGCGGCUUGGCAAGUCGGAUGUGAAAGCCCACGGCUCAACCGUGGAAGCGCAUCCGAAACUGCUUCGCUCGAGUCUCGGAGAGGAAGGUGGAAUGCUUGGUGUAGAGGUGAAAUUCGUAGAUAUCAAGCAGAACACCUGCGGCGAAGGCGGCCUUCUGGACGAUGACUGACGCUGAGACGCGAAAGCGUGGGGAGCAAACAGG
rnacentral:rRNA from 1 species